GCAAGGAUUUAGCCAAACCUCACAGUGCAC
rnacentral:piRNA from 1 species